UCAAAGAGUUCCAUUGAUUUCUUCUAUAAUGUGUGCCAAAAGAAUUAAAGGUGAGUUUUACUGGAUGAUGAAGCUUUCUAUUUUAAACUUGUCUUUCACCGCCUCAUUAGAGGCUGUGUUUUAGCCAUAAGUAAAAAACACAAUAGAUAACUUGGGGAUUUUUGUUGUUGUUGAUACUACCGCUUAUGCUAAAGUGGCUUAGUUGUCCACCCAAGAAAGAUGAUUAGUAAAAAUCAGUGAGAGAUUCACAAUGAAGUUACCAGAAAACUAAUCGGCAUAUCUAUUAAUGUAUUGGUUUAACCAGAUAUGCUUGGGGUCCUAGAUGUGUUCAUGUUUUUCUUGAUGUUUUGAUAUUCUGCGGGAUGUCGGCGAACAGUUACAAGGUGCACAUGAUCUCCUGUUAUUUUCUUGAUGUCACCUGGUGAGAUUUCUCCAGCUCCUCUUUGUGGCAUAGGUUUUCUUGAUGUCUUCACUAACUUAUUUGUUGUACUUGCUCAAGAAGGCAUUACUUCGUAAAAUGAAUAUGCUUAGUUUGCUUGUAUAUUUUGGAACUUUUGUAAUUCUCAAAAAAUAGAGUUGUGUUUAUUCUUAUCUGGUGGAUUUUAUAAUAGAAGAUACAAGAUUACAAUAGGUGUAGAGUGCCUGCACUUCAAAAUAUGAUGUUACCAGUCAGAUUGUUUCAAUUAUGUAGCGUUUGUUUAAAUAUAUUGCAUAUCACACCAGAAAUGGUUAGUACCUACUGUACUGAUUGAUCAUAUUAGGAAUUUCUCAUUCAUGAGGACUAGCUUAUAUUAGAUGUUGCACACAAUUAUUUUGUUUAUUUCAGAACGUAAGUAUUCAUGGUGUUGUAACUGGAUGUUUGGACCUGAACAUUGUUUUGAACAAAUCAUCCUAUUCAUAUUUCUGUACACGAAAAUGAAUUCAUGCCUACUUGCUUUAUUCCUUUGUCAGUUUAUUGCUGGUAUAUGUACUGAUCAAAGAGGACGCUAGAUUAUUUUCUAAGAAAAAAAAAGAAUCAAGAAAAGAGAAUAUUUAUACCCGGUUUGGUGAUUGGAAGCAAUGCCUGGACUAUAUUAGUUGAAAAUUAUAUUUAGACCCAAAGAGAGUCUUACAAGUUAUAAAUUAUUUUAUUUCAGUAUAUCAACUAUAAUUAUGUGUACUGUAGUAGUAUCUACUUUUAGUUUGUGCAUUGAUGGCUUCUGAAGAGAAUUUCCCAAUACCGGGUUCAAAGUUUGGUGGUUCAGAUCAAAGGUGAUGAAGCAAUGUGUGUCCAGUCUAUAUUUCUCAAGUGAGACAAUUAAAAUACAUUAACAAUCACAGUAAUGAUGUCUUUUGUUUCUUCUGGAUACUCAAUGAAUUGUUCCCCUGCAAAGAUGUGUUUUUCUUAUCAAUGUUAUGUUGUCUGAUCAAAAAUCAUUGUUUCAGAUUCAUCAGGCGUUAUUUCGCUAGAUUGUUACCCUAUGAAUUGGGAUCAUUGUUUUCUUAUACCUAGAAUUUUUUAUCUGAUAGGUUAUUUGUGAUAUUGCACCCAAAUCUGAUGUGCACCCGUGUUUGAAUAUGACCUUUUCAUCGAAGAAGCUAACUUGUCUUGCUAGAAAGAGUAUACCGCAGCAAAUCAUAUGCAGUCCAAAGGAUACCGAGAUUGGGACUGGUUGCCACCGGUAUUGGCCUCACACCUUGUACUGCCUUUCUCACAUCGCGCCGUUCGAUGCCUCCAUUUAUGUCAUUUUCUUGCACUGUAUGCAUCCAUGGUGCUUCUAAGCUAGGCGAGGAGACGAGGACACUUGAGGCUGCUGGGCCUUUUUGCUACAGAUUUUGGAAAUUCCUUGAUGUUGGCCAAUUAUAAUCCUUUAUAUGCAAGCCUCUAAUUUCGGUUACAUGGUUUCAUAGUGUAGUGAUUUUUCUUAAUGGAUUUUUCCCAAUCUAAUAAUAUACUAGAUCAAGCGUUAGUGUAAGGUUAGUUUGUUCAGCAGCACCAGGCUGAGAUGGAAGGCAAGCUCGCUUCUUCUGUUGUGGUCCUCAUAUAUUUUUGUUAUCAAUUCAUUUUGGAAUUUCGCAUUCGACAUUUUGGUUUAGAACUCCAGCUACAAGCAUAUCUUUCAUUUAGGUGAAUAAAGAUGUUAGAUUAGUAGCUAAAUCAGUGUGUAUAUUUGAUUUUGUUUUUGUACCCAGCAGUGUCCAAUACUAUAUUUGUCAUUCAUUGAACAGAAACGAGUGUGAGACCUACUGGCUGAUUUCCAUAUGUGAUGAAUUCGCAUGGAGUGCGGCUUCUGCCCCAGGUCAGCAACUGCUUGGCCUCCUCUGCCUCUUCUCCUAUCGCCGGAGAUGCCAUGCAGCAGCGCAGAGCGUUUGGUGCAGGUUUACAUUAUUUCUUAUCUUUCCCUCAUGAGUUCUUUAUUAUUCUCAUCCCUUUCUAUUCAAAAUUUUCUGUCAUUGUACUUGCAUAUGGGGUCAAUAAUUGUUUUUGGAGGAAAAUUUCAUGGGUUGUUUUUGGAGGAGGGCUGUGAUUACUAUAGAAGUUUGAUUUCUGAAUUUUGCAGUGCUGACAAGAAGACACGAAUCAGAGGCUAUUUUACUGUGCCUAUCCUUUUGAGUUAUUGCUGGAAGUUUAAUCACUGCCACAAGUAAAUUUACUUGAUUUCUUUUGGCUUUCAGUUUUAUCGUUUAUCUACAUAAGUGAAUUUAAUUGCUUUCUUUUGGCUUUCAGUUUCAUUGUUUAUCUGCAUAUUGUUCAUCUAAUAAUCAGUUGAUAGCAUGACACGUCGGAACCUUCAUAUGCCUUACAAUUUCAUGAAUUAUUAAUCAUUGUGCUUCCAGUAGCUACCUAACAACCAUUUUGUUGUUUUUCACUUGUGGCAUGGUAUUGGCAUGCUCCCUUUUUCUGGAUGUACACAUAUAUGGUUGUGGAAAUGAGGGUUAGGAUCUAAAAAAAAUGGCGUAUUACAUUCUAAAAAAAAUCUUAUUUCCGUUCUAAAGUGCAACAAAUAGGUUAUGUUCAUAUGAUACUUCUCUUCUUUGCUUCCGACAUCUCAUGCCUUGGCUGCAUUUUUUUCAGUUUUACUCUUUCCAUAGUCAGAUGUGCCAACGACUAUUUUCUAAGCACAUUAUUCCUUGGUGUUGGCUUCUUCACAAUUCAAGAAUGGAUGAUUAUCUUUUAGCUUGGUUUUAUUUGGGUGAUAUCAGUCUUGAAUAACUAUCAGUUAUAUUACUCUACCAAUUACCACUGUUGCUGAUGCUUUAUAUGCCUGCCAGAUUGUACAUUGGUUCCAAUAUAAAUAGCAGAUUCUAGCUUUCAAAAGAUUUGCUACAUCAAGACAACGCUAUAUAGAUUUCCUUUUGUCAUAAAAAUUCAAAGUUAAUUAGAUGGUAUCAAGGCUAUUAUAUUUAGAUUUUCCAAAUGCUGUUAGCUAAUGUAAUAUAAUUCUUCUUUAGUGGUUACUGUUACAAAUGUCAACCUGGGGGUAUGCACAUAAUUUUGCUGCUAGCCUCUUUUUCAAGCUCCGUUUCUGAUGCAUGUGGAGAUAACCACAAUUUGUUUAUUCUUGUGUAUUCCGUACAGUAUCUAAUAUUUCUUCUUUCCUGAUGCCUCAUUGUUGUGGUUCAGUAGUAUUAUCCUCCUUUCUGUACCAGUUAUUUUAAAGUUGCUUCAUGGUAUUUCUCUGCUUAAAUAUAAUUAUGUAUGAUGCAAUCUGUUUGCUUCCUUUAUGGCUAGAAAGGAUUGGAGAUCUUAUAGUGUGCUUACUUUUCUAAUAUGUUAUACCUGUUUACCAUCCUAGGUUUAUCAAAGGUUUAAUAUCGUUCAAUUCUCCUUGUUUCUUUAUAUUUUUUACCUUCAUUAGUUUAGGUCCACACAAAAAUAAUAAUUUUUCCACUCCAUGGUUGCAGCUUGAUGGAAACUGUCGUGAUCUUGGCCAGUGUCAUGCUGAGACCUAUGCUGAGGAAGCUUCACCAGCAUGAAAGCUGUGCUAUUUUCGCUACAUAUAUGUAGUGCAUUCUUCUGCUUUGCUGUCUGGAUGUAUUUCACUCUUGUUUCAGUAAUUUUCUUUAUAUGUCGAUCAGCACUACUCUCACUUAAUAUAGCGGUUUGUAAUUCGUUUAUCAGUCCACAGGUCGGGGUCGGGCGCCUAGAGUUUAUUAGCUAUUACGUGGUGUCUGAAUGUUUCUGUUUAGAAGCUUAUAAGCUGUUACGUGAUAUCAACAUUUCCCCGUAUUGGAAAGACAAAUUUAGAAGUUUUUGUAUAAUUUACAAAUAUCACUUGAAAGGAAAUGACAAACUUUUAUAAUC